GAUGAACGCUAGCGGCAGGCUUAAUACAUGCAAGUCGAGGGGUCAGCAAUGACACCGGCGGACGGGUGCGUAACGCGUAUGCAACCUACCUACAUCAGGGGGAUAGCCCUAGGAAACUGGGAUUAACACCGCAUAAUAGUAUUGAUGGCAUCAUUGAUAUUUGAAAUAUUUAUAGGAUGUAGAUGGGCAUGCGUAAGAUUAGCUAGUUGGUAAGGUAACGGCUUACCAAGGCUACGAUCUUUAGGGGCUCUGAGAGGAGUAUCCCCCACACUGGCACUGAGAUACGGGCCAGACUCCUACGGGAGGCAGCAGUAGGGAAUAUUGGGCAAUGGAGGCAACUCUGACCCAGCCAUGCCGCGUGCAGGAAGACGGCCCUCUGGGUUGUAAACUGCUUUUGAAUGGGAAGAAUGUGAUGUUUGCGAGCAUUAAUGACGGUACCAUUAGAAUAAGCCACGGCUAACUACGUGCCAGCAGCCGCAGUAAUAC
rnacentral:rRNA from 1 species